UAAAUCAGCUUCUAAACAAGACUUUCACACGUUGACUAUGACAAUGGUUAUACAAAUCAAUUUAAACAUGCUUGAUCUUGUGUUAUAUGAGUUUUUGCAUAUACUUACAUGUUCUGUUUUCACUUUUCUUACAUAUUAAUCUUAAACUUCAAAUUGACCCUUUUGCAGGGCUGCAAUCUUUUGUAAAGUUAUCAGUUAUGAACUCUAAGGUGGCUAAGUUUGUAAGGUUAGUUUACUCAAAUCUUACAUAUUAUCAACUAAAUUUCCUCUAAUAUUAUAUUAUAUUGGGCUGCAUUUUGGUUGUUCACUAAAUAUUCAUUAUACAAAACUAACCAUUGUGAUUGUAAAUUUCCUUGUACAGAUUUGUGGAGUAUAAAUCUGAUAGGUCUCAAAGUUAUGAGAAUAACUUAUAGCCUAUUAAUAGUAUGUAAUUAACUUAAUAGUCUUAUGGUCUUCAUGAGAUUAAUAGAUGACUAUAUAUAUGAGAUUAAUAGAUGGCUAUAUGAGAUUAAUAGAUGACUAUAUAAGAUUGAGAUGAGAUAACUUAUAGCCUAUUAAUAGUAUGUAAUUAACUUAAUAGUCUUAUGGUCUUUAUGGAACAUAUCAUUGAACUAUAUGCCUUGUCUAGACAUUUUUUAUUGUGUUUAUGCGAUCUUUUAUUAACUAAGGUUGAGUCAAAGAAUAAUUAUGUGUUCGUGUAGUUAUUUCUGUGUUAUGCUAGACCUUCUUUAAAUGUUCGUCUAGAGCGUAUCUCAUGAGAUUGCUUCACGAAUGAUGGUGCACUAGCUGAAGUUAUCACUUUCUAUGAAAAAAUGGAUGAUUGUAAUCCACUAGAUGAUUCAAACUAAAAAACAGAAGUGACAAAAAAGGGAGACUGUCAUUUCAGCGAAUGAGGCAAGAAAUUCUUUACAUUUUCAUGAACAAUCUCUAAUUUUAUGUUUUUUAAGUUUAUUAUUUUCUUUAUAAUUUCUCUUUUACAGAUCUUUCACUAGUUAAUUAUAUCUCUUGAAUGUUUAAUCCUUAUGAAUUAUUAUGAAACUACAUUUAUAGCUCUUUGUCAUGUGUAAGAAAUUACAAAAUCUUAAUUAUUUGCCUUAAAAAUUUGUCAUGGUCUUUUUUUUGUUCAAAUAUAUUAGCUACUGUUAAACUUUAUUUUUAUUCCAUUUGCUAUCUUUUGUUAUAAUGUUUAAAGGGGAGCAUGAACAUGAUAGAUUUAGUCAUCCAAGCAUUACCCUUGACUAUUCGUUAUCUAAAACAAUUUAGUUUUGAAAGGUUAUUUUCUCAAGGGGCUUCUUUUAGGCCCUUAUCCAACAACUUCGAGAUGACCCUAUCUGCCAAUGCAAUUCAACAGUUGGAGGUAUAUGCUCUUUUAUUAGUUAUGUUAUAAACAUUGUUUCUAUUUUGAAGUUUCCACAUGAUGAUGGUUUGGACUAUGAAUUGCUAAUAUCGGCAAUCUUCCUACCUACUAACUGCAGCCUCUAGUGAUUUUGCAGAACAACAAUGAUUGGUCCGAAUUGGGCUCUUUGUUGCAGUCCAUGGAUCACACUUUUACUAUAUUUGGUUCAAGGCUUCUUAGGCACUGGGUAUGGAACAAUGCGUGACAAUGUCAUUAGUCUUAAGGUAGUUCUUGCCAAUGGAGAUGUCAAGACAGCAUCUCUUGCAUGAAAGAGUGUUGCAGGUUGUUGACUUUGAGAAUAAAAAUACAACAUGGUUGUGGACUUGUGGUGCUUAGAGAUCAUCUUUCAAAGUGACUCCCAAUAAGUAGUUCAAGCAAUAUUGGCAUCACAGAUCAUGCCUACAUAUCCAGCUCCUCAGAGAAUGUUUUAAGAGUUUGAGGGGCAGGUGCCUUCACUUUUUUUUUUCUUUGUUUGCUUAUUGCAUUGCUAGUUUCUUUGUUGUUCAUUUAAUUUGGUUUGUACUGGGUAGCUUAUUUUAUUUUUUUUGUUGGUAACUCUGAUUCAUUCAGUUUGUUUGUUUUACUGUUUAUGGACAAUGUAAUUCAAGAAUUAUAUUGUAAUUGAAAUUUUUAUAAUUGACAUUGUAAUUUUUUAUGUAAUGAAUAAAUGUGUAUAAUGUUAUUUAAAAAUAGCUUUGAAUAAUUUGUUUUUAAUAUAUACUUUAAAUGAAUAUACUCUAAAUUUAAAAAAAAAAAAUUAUAAAUUAGUUUUUAUGACUAAAUAUUAGUCACUGAAUAAUUAAUUUACGUAAUUCUUUAUUUAUUAUUGCCAACUAAACUAUUUAGUCACAAAAUAUUACACUUUCCAUGACUAAAUUUUAGUUGUUAAAGUUUACUUUUUUGGUUGUUGAAAGUCCAUAUUAGUAUUUAUGUGACCAAUUUAUCAAUCUUAUUGUGACUAACUUCAAUAUAUUUUGUAACUAAAUUUUAGUCAUAGAAAAUAACAUUAUUCGUGACUAAAUAUAUUAGUCACUAAAUCUCUUCUACGACCGACUUUCAGCGACUAAAUGGCGACUAAAAAUAAUUAGUCAUAAAAUAU